UACGGGGGGGGCAAGCGUUGUUCGGAAUUACUGGGCGUAAAGGGCUCGUAGGUGGCCAACUAAGUCGAACGUGAAAUCCCCGGGCUCAACCCGGGAACUGCGUCCGAUACUGGAAGGCUUGAAUCCGGGAGAGGGAUGCGGAAUUCCAGGUGUAGCGGUGAAAUGCGUAGAUAUCUGGAGGAACACCGGUGGCGAAGGCGGCAUCCUGGACCGGCAUUGACGCUGAGGCGCGAAAGCCAGGGGAGCAAAGCGGG
rnacentral:rRNA from 1 species